rnacentral:rRNA from 1 species
AUUGAACGCUGGCGGCAGGCCUAACACAUGCAAGUCGAGCGGAUUAAGGGAGCUUGCUCCUGGAUUCAGCUGCGGACGGGUGAGUAAUGCCUAGGAAUCUGCCUGGUAGUGGGGGAUAACGUCCGGAAACGGGCGCUAAUACCGCAUACGUCCUGAUGUAGAAAGUGGGGGAUCUUCGGACCUCACGCUAUCAGAUGAGCCUAGGUCGGAUUAGCUAGUUGGUUGGGUAAAGGCCUACCAAGGCGACGAUCCGUAACUGGUCUGAGAGGAUGAUCAGUCACACUGGAACUGAGACACGGUCCAGACUCCUACGGGAGGCAGCAGUGGGGAAUAUUGGACAAUGGGCGAAAGCCUGAUCCAGCCAUGCCGCGUGUGUGAAGAAGGUCUUCGGAUUGUAAAGCACUUUAAGUUGGGAGGAAGGGAAGUAAGUUAAUACCUUGAUGUUUUGACGUUACCAACAGAAUAAGCACCGGCUAACUUCGUG